GGGGUGGGGCUUAGGCUUUGUGCAGCAGGAAGGAGACUCUGAGGGUGGAGCAUUAGUCCUGGGAGCCCAAGAGGCUCCCUGGGUGCCCAAGAGGGCAGGGGAAGCACUUGUUGCUCCCUUCCAUUCCUUUGCUCUCCUGAGGGUCUCCCCUGUCACUGCUGAACCCCUAAUGUGGGUGGGCCCCAGUGGGUGUAGAAACUCCUCCCCUCUCAGAGGCACCUGUCCCCUCAGUCUGGUCUUUACUUUUGCUCCCCCUUCCCUCCCUCCCACUCCCUCAAGACCCACAUGGCUGAAGGGGGCCUUGGUGGGCAGAGGGUCAGGCCUGGGAUCUCAGCAGGCUCCCUGGGGCCCAAGUGGGUAGGGGAAAUGCUGGCUGUGCUCCCUUCUGAUCCUCUGCCCUCCCAACAGUCCCCCUUCUUCCCCCUUGGGGCAUGGGAGCCCCUCCCCUACCCCAGCUGCCUCUCAGGGGUGCUGGUUCUGCUCCCCACCACCUCUCCCCCUUCUUCCCCACAAAUCCUAAGCAGUUGCUUAGGACAUCCGAGGGGGUUUUCCUUCAGUCCCUGGAUGACUCCUUGAAUCCUAUUCUAAUUUAUGGGUUUCUUCGCAGCCUAUUGAAUGCCCUGAAGUAUCAAGUCCCUGAACUGUGUGAGGUGCUGCUGACCGUUUUCCUCUUAAUGGUUCCACCCCUAGAGUCCAUGUCAGGAAUGGCCUGGAUUCAAGUCUGGUAUAGAGUGUGUCCUGCAUUAUUUUGGUCUUAUCAGCUUCCUCCUUUGCAUCAGUUAUAAUCAGUGCCUUUUCUUCCCCAGAGACUAAGAUGUUCAGGAGGGUUUGGACACCCACCCAAGUGGGGAAAGGACUGUGGAAUAUUCCUCAGACUAAAUUGGGCAGGGAGGCCAAAUGCCCCUUUGGUGUGUGUCCAGUUCUCCAUUUGCUCAGCUACAAGGACCCAAGGACUUUGGACGAUUUGGGGGUCCUUUUCUUGUUUUCCCAGUAGGCAAGGUGAUUUUCCUGAAAUCUGGCAGAAACAUUUGUAAAGAGUUUGUGUCUGAGAAGGGAUCCCUAGGGAUCUGCAGUGGAGGGUAGUGGGGAGAGACCUGUCCAACAGAGACAUGUACCCUGCCCCGGGAUGGCAAAUUGGGAUACAACAGACCAACACAAAGGAUGUGCUCUAGGAUGUGCUCUUGGGUUUUUGAUUACAGCCUGAAGGUGGGAAUGCACCAGGGGUUCUGGAGGCUGUGCGCAUUCACAGUUGCCUACUUACAUUUUUUUCAGUCAGCAGGAUGCCUAGUGCUCAUCUACCCUGCUCUGUGACAGACUUAUCCUUUCGUGGAAGUCUUCCAGUGGUGGAUAUCUGAGCAGACACGGGUCUGUGCCUGAUCUGGAAGCCGAAGGUCUAGCAGGCAGGAGAAGCAGCGAUAAGAUAAAGGCCUGGCAGGGCUCUGAUACAUCCGGGCCAGGCUGGCUGCUGGUCACUGUCAUUGCAGAGCCCCACCCCACAGAGCCACGAGGAGCUUGUUGAUGGCGACACUUAAUCCAUCUCCCCAAGUGAGGGGCCACUGCACCACACUGCCAACGAGGGCCAACGCAGCAUCCUGGUGAGUGUGUCCAUGGAGGGUUCUCCAGAACCAGGGCCCAGAGAUGAAUGGGAAAGGCCUCCUGCCCGCAUACCACCCAAGCCAUUCUCCAGGGUCCCUUCCUGGGCUUAUGUGCAGCUCAGCACAUCCAGCUCUGACCUGGAACACUAUGUCAACCUUCCCCUGAGUCAGCUGGAGGACCUGGAGCCCACCAAGGCAGAGACCAAAGCUCCAGCCAGAGACCCAGAGCCAGGUCAAAAUUCACCACCCCUGCAGGGAGAGCAUGCACCAGCUCUUGCAGGAGACCUAAAGCCAUUUCAGAAACCACCACACACCCAGGCAGAGCUGGCUCUGCAACCACCACUGCUGUCAACUCCCGAUCUACACCAUCAACCCACUCCCCCACCCAAAAUUUACUUUCCUUCCCCUGUAGUUGUUUGCGUUUGUGUGGUUUGUAAUUUUAUUUUUUUUCCCCACAUUUAUGGCAUCCCGUCCUUUAUGUUUUACGUGUGAAAUAAUAAAAUUUAAACUUUUUCUAUUUUAAAUUGUGAAAUUAAGUAUUCACAACGCUGUGCAAAUAUCACCACUGAAUAGUUUCAAACUAUUUAAUUCCCCCCAAAUAACACCCUGUAUCCAAAGCACGCACUCCCCAUUCCUCCCUCCCCCAGCCUCUCACAACCCCUAAUCCUCUUCCUUUACCUGUUUCUUUACCUAUUCUAGAUGUUUCCUAUAAAUGAAACUAUACAAAAGGUGACUUUUUGUGUCUGCCCACAUAUUUUAAGAGGGGACUGGUGAAUUUUUAUUUUUUUAAAAUUUGAAAUAGCAUUUUUGUUAUUUGAAAGGGAAAUCCAGAUGGAUUAAAGAUGAGAGGUAUAAAACGAAGCCCUUUUAGUAAAUAUAUGCAGAAUCUCGGGGUAGACACUCUUCUAAGUGUGACACCUAAGCCAGAAGAUAGGAGGGAAAUGCUUAGCUCCUCCUGUGGCAUUAGUCUAAAACCAUGGAUUUUUACGACCCAACAAGUAAGUAACAUAUUCAAAUAUAGUUAUUUAUGAUAUGGGAGUGUCAUAGGGUAGAACAGAGAAUGUGAAAAAUAAUCUGAUUUAGAAAUGUAUGAAAAAAACUCAACUGUUAUUGGGCAAAAGGUACUUGACCUAGUUAGCUACAGAAAAGAAUGGAAUCUGUAGAACAAAGGCAAACUGUGCCAUACCUAAAUACUGGACUCUGUAAGUUCUUUCCAUGGUGUUAGUGGCUAACAGUACUGAAACUACUAUAUCUGUACUAAGCUGGAACGGAGCAAGCAAUAAAUUCAAUGAAUGACAAAUGUUGGAAGCCAGGUUUCUUACCGUUGGAGUGGAAAGUUACAGAUAAGCAAAGGCAGAUGGUUACAAUACUCAUGUAAUAAUGGACAGAUUACAUUUCCUCAACUUUAAAAAAUUUUGUGCAUCAGAAGGUGCUAUCAGGGCU